GGCUGAGAACUGUGAGCCCUCAGAGUGAUGCUGUUCCCUGUGCUCUCUCUCCACUCAUACCUGAGAUACAUCAUGGAGCAGCCAUCUCAACCUGGUGAUCCUGCCCUUUCACAGAAACCCUAUGCAGGGUGGCUGUGCCCUGCCAUGGCACUCUCAGCACUGGUUUGGAUCGUUUUCUCAUUUGAAGCAACAGACAGAGUGGUACACUUACCCAGUCUUCCCAGUUUGCCCUGCAGUUGGAUGUGGCCUGAGGCUGGUCCUGCUGACGGAUGAUGACGGGAGGUGACCUGCAUCCCUCCCAGGUCUGGCUGCCAUGCUCUUUCCCUUCUCUGGCUCACUGACACGAUGAUGCUCAGGACAACCUUGAAAGCCACACGUUGAAGAUGGAGGAAUCGCUAUCAACCUGGGUGCUCUGACGACAGAACAUGUCCUCUGGACUGUUAUGUGUGCAAGAAAGAACUUUUGUUGCGUUCAAGCCAUUAUAUUCUGGGUCUAUUUGUCACCCCAGUUUAGCCUAUUCCAACAGACAUACUCUUCUGACCAUUUGGUUAUCCCAGGCCUAUGUUCAGUGACACAGAUGACUUCUCUGAAGCCAACCACUGUGUCUGAAUCCAGCAAAGAAAACCAGAGAUGUAGAGAAAGCAGCCAGGGAAGGACAACCAGGAGGAGGCACCUGCACGGCUCUGCCAUUGACGUCUGAGCCAACGGAGGCUGCUGUGGCAAUUGUGUUAGGCACCGUGGCUGUACUGGUUUCACAGAUGUGCAUGUAGGACAUGGGUAUUUUUAAUUCACGGCUGGCCACCUAUGGAAAAAGAAACAAUUUCAAGUCUGAAAAGCUUCUGGAAUUCCAGAGUGCGACGGAAUGAACUGGAGUGCACUUCGUUUCCGGAAAGCCUCCCAUUGGAGGAUGGACACAGGAAUGACUGCUCUGAUCUUAACUGAGCUCGGAGCACUUAACUGAUGAAGGAUGUAACAAAUGUGAGUGAGUGCCACUGUUACUACUUGGGACUCACUGAACGCAGCUUGCAUUUUUCUGAAGUGGACACUCCCUUCCCACCCACCCAGACCAUUUUGUCUGCACAGCCCAGAAUGAAAACAAAACUUCCCACUCCCUAUUGUAGUUCUACCAAAAAAGAAUUGGCCCUGGUCCCUUUGCCUUUUUGAAAUCAGGAAUAAAUACAUGGCUGGAACCGUUUACCUAUAUGGUUAUUAUCAUCUUCUCCAAGGGAAAUGCUGGAUAAUAAAUCAGAGAAGUUAGGAAACAGAGCAACAUGUACCAAUUCAGAAUUUAUAGUAAUUUUGACAAAUGCUAGGCUGAAGUUUACCUUUGACUUUUCAUGAAGAAAGGAUUGCUAAGCAAAAUAGUACCACAAACGAGGGAGCUGAGAGAUUCUCAAACAGUAUGAACUUUUCAAGAAUUUUGGAAGAACUUGUUCGCACAUAAACAUCUGAUAUGCUAAUUUACAAAUAGCUCUGAAUAGCCAAGCAAAACUUUGUUAGCUAGGUUGGAAUGAGGAUACACACACGUACACAUUAUAAUAU